ACCUCCCAGUACCACCACUCUAGGGCCCAAGCCAUUACAUAUGGAUGUUCGGGGAACAUUCAUCUAAAUCAUAGUGAAAAAAACACAGGAAUUUUCUUCCUUCUCCUAAGUUCCUGUCAGCACACAAACAAGAAUAUCUGCCCUCUCCAAUGUACUAAAUAAAAAGAUGCUGCUAGUGAAACAAUGGACCCGUGGCGGAGGAGUAGCGCUCCACCCCCAUGUGAGAGAGUCAUCUGCUCCAGCAGAGGAUCGCCCUGCCCCCACAUGAGAGAGCAGACCCAUGUCAGAGGAGCAGAGUCCCACCACCAGGGGACACAGCAUCAAGGAGCAGCAGGGGUACAGACUAACCAACUAACCAACCAGCCCAAUCCUGGACAAGGACAUACCCAGGGAGAAAAGGGAGCAAUCAGACCCCAUAACUGUAGACAGUAAGUCCAACAGCCCACUUGAACCCCUGCCUUGCAGCCUAAAUCCAGCAGAGAACAGAGGGCUGAUUAUGUUCCCUGUCCCGGCCCGCGGUGAGUUUGCCUGUCUGCUGCUUGACCUUCAGCCUAACCCCAAAAGUUCAACAAACUCCUAAUAUGAGAAGUACAAAGAAAAUCACACUUGGGCAGGUCAUCAUCCCUGAUGAAAUAGAAACUGAAAACCAAAGAUAAAAG
rnacentral:lncRNA from 1 species